rnacentral:lncRNA from 1 species
AACCAAUCACCUUCAACCCGCUUUACAAUCUACUUCCCAAUACCCAAAACCCUAACCGAAUCGUCGACGUCAUCUGCUCCUCUCUCAAUCAACGCGAUUCCCUCUCAUCCAACCUCCACAACGAGGUCAAAUCGCUGAUUCCUCACCUCGGCCACCGCCAAAUCUCUAGGGUUUUGCUUAGGUUCCAAUCAGACGCCACUCGAGCCCUCGCCUUCUUCAAUUGGGUCAAAUCCGAUUUGGGUAAGACCCCGAACGUUGGUAACUACUGUUUGCUUCUUCACGUUCUCGCUUGGUCCAAGAAGUUUCCUUUAGCUAUGCAAUUCCUCUGUGAACUGAUCGAAUUAGUCGUUAAAGAAGAAGAAGAUGUGUUUAGUGUUUUGGUUUCUGCUACUGAGGAAUGUAAUUGGGAUCCUGUUGUUUUCGAUAUCCUCGUCAAGGCCUACCUGAAGUUAGGUUUGGUAGAAGAAUCCUUCUCGGCGUUUCGAAAGGUGAUUGCUUUUGGUUUUCGUGUUAGCGUUGUCACUUGUAACCAUCUCUUGAACGGGUUGCUAAAACUGGACCUAACGGAUGACUGUUGGCGAGUGUAUCGCGUGAUGUGUAGAGUAGGAAUCCAUCCCAACGCUCAUACGUUCAACAUUCUCACCAAUGCGUUCUGCAACGGUUCGGGGUUUAACCAAGUUAACGACUUUUUGGAGAAGAUGGAGGAAGAAGAAGGGUUUGAGCCUGAUUUGGUUACUUAUAACACGUUGGUGAGUAGUUAUUGUAGGAGAGGAAGGUUGAAAGAAGCGUUUUAUCUGUAUAAGAUCAUGUAUCGGCGUCGUGUUGUGCCGGAUUUGGUUACUUACACGUCGCUUAUUAAAGGUCUUUGUAAAGAUGGGAGGGUUAGAGAAGCUCAUCAGACUUUCCACAGGAUGGUGCGAUUCCCUCUCAUCCAACCUCCACAACGAGGUCAAAUCGCUGAUUCCUCACCUCGGCCACCGCCAAAUCUCUAGGGUUUUGCUUAGGUUCCAAUCAGACGCCACUCGAGCCCUCGCCUUCUUCAAUUGGGUCAAAUCCGAUUUGGGUAAGACCCCGAACGUUGGUAACUACUGUUUGCUUCUUCACGUUCUCGCUUGG